rnacentral:rRNA from 1 species
UGGGGAAUAUUGGACAAUGGGCGAAAGCCUGAUCCAGCCAUGCCGCGUGUGUGAAGAAGGUCUUCGGAUUGUAAAGCACUUUAAGUUGGGAGGAAGGGCAGUAAGCGAAUACCUUGCUGUUUUGACGUUACCGACAGAAUAAGCACCGGCUAACUCUGUGCCAGCAGCCGCGGUAAUACAGAGGGUGCAAGCGUUAAUCGGAAUUACUGGGCGUAAAGCGCGCGUAGGUGGUUCGUUAAGUUGAAUGUGAAAGCCCCGGGCUCAACCUGGGAACUGCAUCCAAAACUGGCGAGCUAGAGUAGGGCAGAGGGUCGUGGAAUUUCCUGUGUAGCGGUGAACUGCGUAGAUGUAGGAAGGAACGCCAGUGGCGAAGGCGACCACCUGGGCUCAUACUGACACUGAGGUGCGAAAGCGUGGGGAGCAAACAGG